rnacentral:rRNA from 1 species
CCAAUAGCGUAUAUUAAAGUUGUUGCAGUUAAAAAGCUCGUAGUUGAAUUUCGGGGUUAGUAGGUUGGUCAUGCCUCUGGUAUGUACUGGUCUCACUGAUUCCUCCUUCCUGAUGAACCGUAAUGCCAUUAAUUUGGUGUUGCGGGGAAUCUGGACUGUUACUUUGAAAAAAUUAGAGUGUUUAAAGCAAGCUAACGCUUGAAUACAUUAGCAUGGAAUAAUGAAAUAGGACGUUCGAUCCUAUUUUGUUGGUUUCUAGGAUUGACGUAAUGAUUAAUAGGGAUAGUUGGGGGCAUUAGUAUUCAAUUGUCAGAGGUGAAAUUCUUGGAUUUAUUGAAGACUAACUACUGCGAAAGCAUUUGCCAAGGAUGUUUUCAUUAAUCAAGAACGAAAGUUAGGGGAUCGAAGACGAUCAGAUACCGUCGUAGUCUUAACCAUAAACUAUGCCGACUAGGGAUCGGAUGAUGUUAAUUUUUUAAUGACUCAUUCGGCGCCUUACG